rnacentral:rRNA from 1 species
CCUACGGGCGGCAGCAGUGGGGGAUAUUGCACAAUGGGGGAAACCCUGAUGCAGCGACGCCGCGUGGGUGAAGAAGUAUUUCGGUAUGUAAAGCCCUAUCAGCAGGGAAGAAAGAAGACGGUACCUGACUAAGAAGCCCCGGCUAACUACGUGCCAGCAGCCGCGGUAAUACGUAGGGGGCGAGCGUUAUCCGGAUGCACUGGGUGUAAAGGGAGCGUAGACGGCCGUGCAAGCCAGGAGUGAAAGCCCGGGGCCCAACCCCGGGACUGCUCUUGGAACUGUGCGGCUGGAGUGCGGGAGGGGCAGGCGGAAUUCCUGGUGUAGCGGUGAAAUGCGUAGAUAUCAGGAGGAACACCGGCGGCGAAGGCGGCCUGCUGGACCGCGACUGACGUUGAGGCUCGAAAGCGUGGGGAGCGAACAGGAUUAGAUACCCGUGUAGUC